rnacentral:tRNA from 1 species
AAGUAAUCCGUUGGUCUUAGGAACCAAAAAAUUGGUGCAACUCCAG